GGCGCUAUAGCCAAGUGGUUACGGCGACAGAUUCGAACUUCGAACUAUCUGUUCCUCUUUGAGGGCGCAGGUUCAAAUCCUGCUGGCGUCG